rnacentral:rRNA from 1 species
CCCAGACUCCUACGGGAGGCAGCAGUGGGGGAUAUUGCACAAUGGGGGGAACCCUGAUGCAGCGGCGCCGCGUGGGUGAAGGAGUGCUUCGGCAUGUAAAGCCCUAUCGGCAGGGAAGAAGCAAGACGGUACCUGACUAAGAAGCCCCGGCUAACUACGUGCCAGCAGCCGCGGGAAUACGUAGGGGGCGGGCGUUAUCCGGAUUCACUGGGUGUAAAGGGAGCGUAGACGGCCAUGCAAGCCAGGGGUGAAAGCCCGGGGCCCAACCCCGGGACUGCCCUUGGAACUGCGUGGCUGGAGUGCAGGAGGGGCAGGCGGAAUUCCUGGUGUAGCGGUGAAAUGCGUAGAUAUCAGGAGGAACACCGGUGGCGAAGGCGGCCUGCUGGACUGCAACUGACGUUGAGGCCCGAAAGCGUGGGGAGCAAACAGGAUUAGAUACCCGAGUAC